rnacentral:tRNA from 1 species
CAGGGAGACAACAAAAUGUUUAAUAUUAUUAUUUUGUCACCUUAGGUCGAUCGGUAUCUCACGUUCUUAAUUUGUUAAGAAUUUCAUUUCCUAAGUUUUUCUAGGUCACACCCAUUAUUUUUCCUGGGCCAUUAGCUCAGGUGGUUAGAGCGCACCCCUGAUAAGGGUGAGGUCCCUGGUUCAAGUCCAGGAUGGCCCAUAUCUCUAUGUUGGGGGUAUAGCUCAGUUGGUAGAGCGCCUGCUUUGCAAGCAGGAUGUCAGCGGUUCGAGUCCGCUUACCUCCACUGAUUACCACCUCUUCCAUAACUGGUAGAAAGGAAAUGUUUUGAGUUGUGAUUAUUAUUCUGAACGAAUCUAGCUUCCUAAUGAAAUCAUUAAGAUGCUGGACUCAUUGAAUUAAUUUCAUUGUUUUCAGAGAACCUUGACAACUGCAUAGAUUUUUUUAAAGACAAUAAGCAUCUUUAAUGAUGCAGAUUUAUUAUUUGUGCGAAUGCAUCAAUAACAAUUCUAUUAAGCUGAUGCUUCAAUUUUUGAAGUUAUU